rnacentral:rRNA from 1 species
UACGUAGGGUGCAAGCGUUGUCCGGAAUUAUUGGGCGUAAAGAGCGUGUAGGCGGCCCGAUUAGUCUGCUGUGAAAGUCCAGGGCUCAACCCUGGAAAGCCGGUGGAUACUGUCGGGCUAGAGUCCGGAAGAGGCGAGUGGAAUUCCUGGUGUAGCGGUGGAAUGCGCAGAUAUCAGGAGGAACACCGAUGGCGAAGGCAGCUCGCUGGGACGGUACUGACGCUGAGGCGCGAAAGCAUGGGGAGCAAACAGG